CAUGAUGUAUGCAAUAUGCAGUGUAUGAUUGAUCUUUCUUUUUGUCUUUCUCUUUUUUCUUCUCUUUUUUCUUUUUUUAAUUCUUUUUUCUCUUUUUUUCUUUCUGCCUCCACUAACAAGUUUUGGCAUGUAACAAUGCCCGAAAUACUCCUGAAGGAUCCCACGAAGGUAAAAAAUCAUGUAUUUGCAAAAGGCAAGUAACAGAGGGUAUAGAAAUAAAACUGAAAUCUUGUACAAGAGGCAGAAAGAUAUCCUGCAAAAGGCAAGUAACUUGACUGGGAAAUGGUUAAAAUUC
rnacentral:lncRNA from 1 species